rnacentral:misc_RNA from 1 species
AAGUCGUAACAAGGUUUCCGUAGGUGAACCUGCGGAAGGAUCAUUAACGUGCCCGUGGGGGGCCGGCCCGCCCGGCCUCCCCACCUGGCCACCCUUGUCUAUCUGUACCUGUUGCUUCGGCGGGCCCGCAGUCAUGCCGCUGGGGGUUUGCUCCUGGCCCGCGCCCGCCGAAGACACCGAACUUCUAGUUAAGAUUGUCGUCUGAAUGUUUAACUAAAAUCGUUAAAACUUUCAACAACGGAUCUCUUGGUUCC